CCUACGGGUGACAGCAGUGAGGAAUAUUGGUCAAUGGACGAGAGUCUGAACCAGCCAAGUAGCGUGAAGGAUGACUGCCCUAUGGGUUGUAAACUUCUUUUAUAAAGGAAUAAAACGAGGCACGUGUGCCUUUUUGCAUGUACUUUAUGAAUAAGGAUCGGCUAACUCCGUGCCAGCAGCCGCGGUAAUACGGAGGAUCCGAGCGUUAUCCGGAUUUAUUGGGUUUAAAGGGAGCGUAGAUGGGUUGUUAAGUCAGUUGUGAAAGGUUGCGGCUCAACCGUAAAAUUGCAAUUGAUACUGGCAGUCUUGAGUACAGUUGAGGUAGGCGGAAUUCGUGGUGUAGCGGUGAAAUGCUUAGAUAUCACGAAGAACCCUGAUUGCGAAGGCAGCUUACUAAACUGUGACUGACAUUGAUGCUCGAAAGUGUGGGUAUCAAACAGGAUUAGAUACCCUAGUAGUC
rnacentral:rRNA from 1 species